UUUCGCAAGCAAACAUUAUUAACGAACAAAGGCGAAGCGCCAACACAUUGAGGGCCGCGGCGACAACAGCGAGAAGCGCAACUUGCAUGAUUUUCACGGACAGCGCAACGCGAGAAAACAGAUCCACUCUUUCUAAAUAUUGACGGUGGGGCUAUACCUCACGACUGCCCCCCACAGCCAGUACAAGUACUGCAGUCUACUUAAACAAGAUCUAAACCCAGAAAAUUCUCCAUCCAGACAAAAGACGUUGACUAACCCGAAGAUAAGUGGUGUACGAUUGAAUACAUCAUCAUCAUACAUUGUACAACACUCACGUCUUCUUCCACACAAGAGGGAUGUUCCAGGUGUGGUCCUCCAGACAACUGAGAUGCAGUGUGUUCCUCCUGACUGGUGGGAUGCAGUUUUCCUCCUGUCUGGUGUGAUGCAGUGUUCCUCCUGACUGAUGGGAUGUAGUGUGUUCCUCCUGUCUGAUGGGAUGUAGUGUGUUCCCCUGUCUGAUGGGAUGCAGUGUGUUCUCUCCGACUGAUGUGAUGCAGUGUGUUCCCCCUGACUGAUGGGAUGCAGUGUGUUCCCCUGUCUGAUGGGAUGCAGUGUGUCCCCCCUGACUGAUGGGAUGCAGUGUGUCCCUCCUGACUGUUGGGAUGCAGUGUGUUCCCCCUGACUGAUGGGAUGCAGUUUGUCCCUCCUGACUGAUGGGAUGCAGUGUGUUCCUCGUGAUUGGUGGGAUGCAGUGUGUUCCUCCUGACUGUUUGGAUGUAGUGUGUUCCCCCUGUCUGAUGGGAUGCAGUGUGUUCCCCCUGACUGAUGGGAUGUAGUGUGUUCCCCUGUCUGAUGGGAUGCAGUGUGUUCCCCCUGACUGUUGGGAUGCAGUGUGUUCCCUCCUGACUGAUGGGAUGCAGUGUGUCCCUCCUGACUGAUGGGAUGCAGUGUGUUCCUCCUGACUGGUGGGAUGCAGUUUGUUCCCCCUGUCUGAUGGGAUGCAGUGUGUUCCCCCUGACUGAUGGGAUGUAGUG